rnacentral:lncRNA from 1 species
AUGCCAGUGCUCGGACAAAACCGCGGCGGCGCCCCCACCACCGUGGGCUGGUCGCGACUGCUCUCAUCCUUGUGCCACUCUCUGAUCACGCCCUUCCCUCGCCCUGCAUACCGUCACCGGAUCUGUAACCGUCAACCACCACCGAAGAAUCCGACGGAACUCCCGUCGUCACCCAUACCAGAGAAAGAAAGAGAGAGGCACGAAUGUAAAGAAGAAGAGGAACUCUUGUCUGUUCUGAAAGAGGAGAAAGGAAAGUGA